rnacentral:rRNA from 1 species
CCUUGACAUCCAGCGAACUUUCCAGAGAUGGAUUGGUGCCUUCGGGAACGCUGAGACAGGUGCUGCAUGGCUGUCGUCAGCUCGUGUUGUGAAAUGUUGGGUUAAGUCCCGCAACGAGCGCAACCCUUUAUCCUUUGUUGCCAGCGAUUCGGUCGGGAACUCAAAGGAGACUGCCGGUGAUAAACCGGAGGAAGGUGGGGAUGACGUCAAGUCAUCAUGGCCCUUACGAGUAGGGCUACACACGUGCUACAAUGGCGCAUACAAAGAGAAGCGACCUCGCGAGAGCAAGCGGACCUCAUAAAGUGCGUCGUAGUCCGGAUCGGAGUCUGCAACUCGACUCCGUGAAGUCGGAAUCGCUAGUAAUCGUGGAUCAGAAUGCCACGGUGAAUACGUUCCCGGGCCUUGUACACACCGCCCGUCACACCAUGGGAGUGGGUUGCAAAAGAAGUAGGUAGCUUAACCUUCGGGAGGGCGCUUACCACUUUGUGAUUCAUGACUGGGGUGAAGUCGUAACAAGGUAAGCGUAGCGAG